UACGGAGGGAGCUAGCGUUGUUCGGAAUUACUGGGCGUGAAGCGCACGUAGGCGGCUUUGUAAGUUAGAGGUGAAAGCCCGGGGCUCAACUCCGGAACUGCCUUUAAGACUGCAUCGCUUGAAUCCAGGAGAGGUGAGUGGAAUUCCGAGUGUAGAGGUGAAAUUCGUAGAUAUUCGGAAGAACACCAGUGGCGAAGGCGGCUCACUGGACUGGUAUUGACGCUGAGGUGCGAAAGCGUGGGGAGCAAACAGG
rnacentral:rRNA from 1 species